rnacentral:lncRNA from 1 species
GAAUGCUGGGGGCUGAGGGUGUCUGUGAGGGAGCAUAAGAGCUUUCAGUAAGUGGUAUUUACCUAGCCUCCUGAAAAACAUGGACAAAUGUCAGAUCAGACACCUAGAAAUCUAGGAAUUAGUGGAUAUUCUGACAGGAUAGCAUGGAAGUCAUUACUAGAGACAAUCUGAGCGUUGAUCCUCAUAUAUAAAGUUCUCUCCCUAGGAAUUAGUGGAUAUUCUGACAGGAUAGAAUGGAAGUCAUUACUAGAGACAAUCCAAGCUUUGAUCCUCAGAAAUAAAGUUCUCUCCCUAGAUGGGGGAACUCUCACAACAAACAUUUCCAGGAAAACCCUGACAUGGGAUUUAUCUCUACCAAGAUGUCUUACAAAAUAUAGUGAUUUAAAUUCUCCAACAAUCUUCCUCUAUUACCCCUCAAAUUUAUGACUGAAAUGAGAAACAUAGACUCUAGUCUUUAAAAAUAUGCUUUAGUCUCACUCCAUAAGUUAUUUAGAUUUUUCCCCUCCUUGGUUCUUACAGAGAGUUCUGCCUGACUUCACAUCUGAGGUUUCUGUUUAUUGAUUAGGGUUUAGAGGGGGAGCCCAUGACUGUCAUGGUGGGAAGCACAGUAGCAGGACGACCCUGGAGCAGUAGCUGAGAGCUUAUAUCUGAUCAC